rnacentral:rRNA from 1 species
UCGCUCCUACCGAUUUCGAGUGAUGCGGUGAACCUUUUGGACUGCGCUCGUAUGAGUGCGGAAAAUCAAGUAAACCUUAUCACUUAGAGGAAGGAG